rnacentral:rRNA from 1 species
GCCGCGUGAGGGAUGACGGCCUUCGGGUUGUAAACCUCUUUUGUAGGGAAGAAACGAAAGUGACGGUACCUGGGGAAAAAGCGCCGGCUAACUACGUGCCAGCAGCCGCGGUAAUACGUACGGCGCAAGCGUUAUCCGGAAUUAUUGGGCGUAAAGAGCUCGUACGCGGUUUGUCGCGUCUGCCGUGAAAGUCCGGGGCUCGACUCCCGAUCUGCGGUGGGUACGGGGGGACUGGAUUGAUGUAGGGGAGACUGGAAUUCCGGGUGUAGCGAUGAAAUGCGCAGAGUUCAAGAGGAACGCCGAUAGCUGAGGCAGGUCUCUGGGCGUUAAGUGACUCUCAGGAGCGUGAGCCUGGGGAGCGAACAGGAUUAGAGACCAUGGUAGUCCAUGCCGUAGACGUUGGGCCCUAGGUGUGGGGAACAUUCCACGUUUUCCGCGUCUUAGCUGACGCAUUAAGUGCCCCGCCUGGGGAGUACGGCCGCAAGGCUAAAACUCAGAGGAAUUGACGAGUGCCCGGACAAGCGGCGGAGCAGGCGAAUUAGUUCAAUACGUCGCUGAUAACCUUACCACGGCUUGACAUGUACCGGAUAGACCUGGAAACAGGUCCCC